GGACUACUGGGGUAUCUAAUCCUGUUUGCUCCCCACGCUUUCGCGCCUCAACGUCAGGUGUAGGUUAGAAAACCGCCUUCGCCACCGGUGUUCUUCCACAUAUCUACGCAUUUCACCGCUACAUGUGGAAUUCCGUUUUCCCCACCUAUCCUCCAGGUUAGAAGUUUCAGAUGCUGCUCCGAGGUUGAGCCCCGGAAUUUCACGUCUGACUUUCUAAACCGUCUACGCGCCCUUUACGCCCAAUAAAUCCGAUUAAUGCUUGCACCCUCCGUAUUACCGCGGCGGCUGGCAC
rnacentral:rRNA from 1 species